rnacentral:rRNA from 1 species
AUGGCCCCCAAGGCGGCGGAGAAGGAGCCCGCGACGGAGAAGGCGGCCGAGAAGAAGCCCGCGGAGAAGGAGCCCGCGACGGAGAAGGCGGCCGAGAAGGAGCCCGCGGCGGAGAAGGCGGCCGAGAAGAAGCCCGCGGAAAAGGAGCCCGCGACGGAGAAGGCGGCCGAGAAGUCCCCGGCAACUGCCGGGAAGAAGCCCGAGGCCAAGAAGCGUCUGCCGGCGGGCGAAAUGGCCUCCAAGGCGGGCGGCGGCAAGAAGCGGGGCCAGAAGGAGGGCAAGAGGAGGAAGGAGACCUACAAGGUCCACAUCUACAGGGUGCUCAAGCAUGUGCACGGCAAGGAGCUCGGCAUCACCUCCAAGGCCAUGGCCUCCAUGAACUCCUUCGUCAACGACAUGUUCGAGAGGCUCGCCGCCGAGGCCGGCAAGCUCGCCCGCUACAACAAGAAGUCCACCAUCGGCCCCCGGGAGAUCCGGACCUCCGUCCGCCUCCUCCUCCCCGGCAGUCUCUCCACGACUGCCUUCAAAGCUGGCGACGCUGCCGUCGACAGUUUCAAAAAUUACAAGGUAUUUUAUGUAUCUUCGGAGGAAGAGUAG